rnacentral:rRNA from 1 species
UUGGAGGGCAAGUCUGGUGCCAGCAGCCGCGGUAAUUCCAGCUCCAAUAGCGUAUAUUAAAGUUGUUGCAGUUAAAAAAGCUCGUAGUUGAACCUUGGGUCUGGCUGGCCGGUCCGCCUCACCGCGAGUACUGGUCCGGCUGGACCUUUCCUUCUGGGGAACCUCAUGGCCUUCACUGGCUGUGGGGGGAACCAGGACUUUUACUGUGAAAAAAUUAGAGUGUUCAAAGCAGGCCCUUGCUCGAAUACAUUAGCAUGGAAUAAUAGAAUAGGA